ACAAUGUUGGGAUUUUUAAGCAGCCCUCCAGCCCUUACAAAGGUUCACUUUUUCAGAAGUUUGUCCCUCAUGGUAGGAAACAGAUGGUGGACACUCAGAGGCAUGAUUUGAUGGUCUCCCAGGUUUGAGCAUGGACAUCCCUCACCAGUCUGGUUGGGAAGGCACUGCCGAGUGUGAAUGCUGGCUUGCAUGGCCCCACCAGGCCAGGGAAGAAGGACAGGCAGCUGGUGACUCCUCCAGAGCUGGCUACUUGUAUUCCUGUAUGUCCACGAUGGCCCAGGCUCCAAGAGUUUUCCAAACUGAAGAGAUUCCUUGGAUUAACAUCCCUCAAGUAAUCUUUCUGCAUCUUAAAUUCGAGUCUUCAUCAGCCAAGUGUCUUCCAAUAUUUUCUCUUAGUAUGUAACUCACCUUUUCCCUCCCUUGACAGAGCCUUUCCUCGAUGAGAAAUGGACUCUGAUGGGUAGUUUCUUACUCUUUCUUUUUUACUUUUAGUAAAAGGUAUAUUUUAUAGAUUUAAAUUCCUUAAGAUUAAAAA
ensembl:antisense Gm17171 predicted gene 17171